UAAGGGCAUAAUUAAUGCACCUCCAAACACGUAUGUGCGGAAUUUUGCAGAUCUAUAGAAAAUCAGCAUAAUUUUUUUCACUGAAAGAACAAGCUAUGGGAAUAGGUUUUCAGAACUGGGUCACCAUUGGGCCCAUAGAACAAACUACCAAGGCAGAAUGAGAGAUGAACGCAAGUUCAAGUCCUGUUCUGAGCAGGUGUCACAUGGACCUAGUGACUCUGAUGUCGCCAGGGUUUCAAGAUUCAGGUCUAGGUAGGAGAAGUCCCUCUCUUCCUGUGGCCAGGCUGUGUCCUCCCUAGAGAGACCGCUCACCUCCUAACCAGGAGAUGCUCGUCAGAGCCGCUCUGAAGCCACUGCAGACAGCGCCUGCCUCGUUAGCCGCGAUUCCCUCAUGCUGAGAUAGCAUUUCUCUCUGACACCCGACACUGUGCACGUCGAAGCCGCUGCCUCGUUAUGCCUGAGCAUCCAAGACACUGUGACUUCCAGAGAGGCAACGUGGAGAUCGGCCUUGGACCUGGAGGU
rnacentral:lncRNA from 1 species